rnacentral:rRNA from 1 species
UACAGAGGUCUCGAGCGUUAGGCGGAAUCACUGGGCUUAAAGCGUGUGUAGGUGGAUCGUUAAGUACCUUGUGAAAUCCCACGGCUUAACCGUGGAACUGCUUGGUAUACUGGCGGUCUUGAGGGUCGAAGAGGAGAGUGGAAUUCCUGGUGUAGAGGUGAAAUUCGUAGAUAUCAGGAGGAACACCGGUGGCGAAGGCGGCCACCUGGACGGUCACUGACGCUGAGAUGCGAAAGCGUGGGGAGCAAACAGG